UACGGAGGGUGCAAACGUUGCUCGGAAUCAUUGGGCGUAAAGCGCACGUAGGCGGCCUGAUAAGUCGGGUGUGAAAGCCCUGGGCUCAACCCAGGAAGUGCACUCGAAACUGUCAGGCUUGAAUAUGGAAGAGGGUCGCGGAAUUCCCGGUGUAGUGGUGGAAUGCGUAGAUAUCGGGAGGAACACCAGUGGCGAAGGCGGUUGCCUGGGGCUUUGCUGACGCUGAUGCGCGAAAGCGUGGGGAGCGAUCCGG
rnacentral:rRNA from 1 species